GCGGUAAUACGGAGGGUGCGAGCGUUAAUCGGAAUUACUGGGCGUAAAGCGCAUGCAGGUGGUUUGUAAGUCAGAUGUGAAAGCCCGGGGCUCAACCUCGGAAUUGCAUUUGAAACUGGCAAACUAGAGUACUGUAGAGGGGGUAGAAUUUCAGGUGUAGCGGUGAAAUGCGUAGAGAUCUGAAGGAAUACCGGUGGCGAAGGCGGCCCCCUGGACAGAUACUGACACUCAGAUGCGAAAGCGUGGGGAGCAAACAGGAUUAGAUACCCUGGUAG
rnacentral:rRNA from 1 species